rnacentral:rRNA from 1 species
UGAGUAACCUGCCCUUAACUCUGGGAUAAGCCUGGGAAACUGGGUCUAAUACCGGAUAUGACUCCUCAUCGCAUGGUGGGGGGUGGAAAGCUUUUUUGUGGUUUUGGAUGGACUCGCGGCCUAUCAGCUUGUUGGUGAGGUAAUGGCUCACCAAGGCGACGACGGGUAGCCGGCCUGAGAGGGUGACCGGCCACACUGGGACUGAGACACGGCCCAGACUCCUACGGGAGCAG